rnacentral:rRNA from 1 species
ACGGAAGGCAGCAGUGGGGAAUCUUCCGCAAUGGGCGAAAGCCUGACGGAGCAACGCCGCGUGAGUGAAGAAGGCCUUCGGGUCGUAAAGCUCUGUCUUAGAGGAAGAACAUCUGGUGUGUGAAGAAUGCAUCAGACUGACGGUACUCUUAGAGGAAGCUCCGGCUAACUACGUGCCAGCAGCCGCGGUAAUACGUAGGGAGCGAGCGUUGUCCGGAAUUACUGGGCGUAAAGGGCGUGUAGGCGGAGUCUUAAGCAGAGUGUGAAAACUAUGGGCUCAACCCAUAGCCUGCAUUCUGAACUGGGACCCUUGAGGGCAGGAGAGGAAAGUGGAAUUCCUAGUGUAGCGGUGAAAUGCGUAGAUAUUAGGAGGAACACCAGUGGCGAAGGCGACUUUCUGGACUGUACCUGACGCUGAGGCGCGAAAGCGUGGGGAGCAAACAGGAUUAGAUACCCUGGUA